rnacentral:rRNA from 1 species
UUUCUAGUGUAUAAAUACUAGAUAAGCCCUGCCCUACGUAAUUAAGUGGCCGCGGUACAAUAACCGUGCUAAGGUAGCAUAAUCAAUUGUUUAUUAAUUGUAAAAUUGAAUGAAAGGGUAAACAAAAUAAAGACUGUCUCUUAUAAAUUCAUAUAAACUAUCCUUUUUACGAAGAGAUAAAAAUUCAAUUAAAGGACAAGAAGACCCUAUAGAGCUUUUAUAUAAAACUAAUAAUUAAACUAAAGUUUGGUUGGGGCGACCUAAGAUAAUAAAUAACAUCUUUAAUACUAUAAGAGAAACUUCUCAACAUAAUGAUCCUAUAUUGAUCAAUGAUUCAAGUUACCUUAGGGAUAACAGGCUAAUAAUUUUUAAGAGUUCUUAUCUAAAAAAUAGAUUGGCACCUCGAUGUUGGCUUAGGAAUACUAUUACUCGCAAAAGAGUGUAUAGUUGGUUUGUUCAACCAUUAAUAUCCU